rnacentral:pre_miRNA from 1 species
UAUUAAAAAUUUUAUCCACUUUACCGUUAAAAAAAAUGACAGUGCUGAUAAAAUAAAUAAUUAAUUAUAUGUGGCGUGCCACGUGUGCCUCAUAUUGACAUACAUGGACCAAUUUUUAAUAGUAGAAACAGAUGAAAUUUUUAAUA